AGGCGCGAAUGGGAGAGCGCAAGCUCAUGAACUGCCCCUAAUCAUGCUGCCAGGAAAAGCCUCUAAGCGAGAUGUUAGCUGUCCGUACCGUAAACCGACUCAGGUAGAUGGGGUGAGUAUCCUCAGGUGAUCGAUAGAACCGUGGUUAAGGAACUCGGCAAAUUAACUCCGUAACUUCGGGAGAAGGAGUGCCUUUGGGGGAAAUGGACUUCGCGUCCGGCUUUCCCGGGGGCCGCAGUGACCAGGCCCAAGCGACUGUUUACCAAAAACAUAGCACUCUGCGAAGUCGUAAGACGCUGUAUAGGGUGUGACACCUGCCCGGUGCUGGAAGGUUAAGGGAAGAGGUCAAGUCUUCGGACGGCAGCUUUGAACCGAAGCCCCAGUAAACGGCGGCCGUAACGAUAACGGUCCUAAGGUAGCGAAAUUCCUUGUCGGGUAAGUUCCGACCUGCACGAAUGGUGUAACGAUUUGGGCGCUGUCUCAACCACGGAAUCGGCGAAAUUGCAAUGUCGGUGAAGAUGCCGGCUACCCGCGACAGGACGGAAAGACCCCAUGGACCUUUACUAUAACCUGAUAUUGUGUUUUACCCUAGCAUGUGUAGGAUAGGUGGGAGACGGUGAUCCGGCCACGCCAGUGGUCGGGGAGUCAACCUUGAAAUACCACCCUUGCUUUGGUGAAAUUCUAACCGCGGUGUGUGAAUCCACAUCCGGGACAGUGUCAGGCGGGUAGUUUGACUGGGGCGGUCGCCUCCUAAAAUGUAACGGAGGCUCGCAAAGGUUCCCUCAGCACGGUCGGCAAUCGUGCGAAGAGUGUAAAAGCAUAAGGGAGCUUGACUGCAAGACUUACACGUCGCGCAGGUGCGAAAGCAGGCUUUAGUGAUCCGGCGGUUAUGCGUGGAAAUGCCGUCGCUCAAAGGAUAAAAGGUAUCCUGGGGAUAACAGGCUUAUCGCUUCCAAGAGUUCACAUCGACGAAGCGGUUUGGCACCUCGAUGUCGGCUCGUCGCAUCCUGGGGCUGUAGAAGGUCCCAAGGGUUUGGCUGUUCGCCAAUUAAAGCGGCACGUGAGCUGGGUUCAGAACGUCGUGAGACAGUUCGGUCCCUAUCCGUCGCGGGCGUAUGAGAAUUGAGUAGAGCUGCACCAAGUACGAGAGGACCGGUGCGGACGAAGCUCUGGUGCACCAGUUGUCAUUCCAAUGGCACGGCUGGGUAGCCACCUUCGGAAAGGAUAAGCGCUGAAAGCAUCUAAGUGCGAAACCAACUACAAGAUCAGUUCUCACUUCAGGCCCGUCAGAGAUGAUGACGUUGAUAGGCGACAGGUGUAAGCACAGUAAUGUGUUCAGCCGAGUCGUACUAAUCGGCCGUGUGACUUGAUU
rnacentral:rRNA from 1 species